rnacentral:ncRNA from 1 species
GUUAGCGCCAGAACUAAAUUAUAUGAUUUAGUUGACGAGGUCUAGAGUUAUCGAAAUAUUCGGCGGAUGCUCUAGUGGUUUGUUUACAACCAUAGAUUAAAUUAAAAAAUAAUAGAAAUAUUAUAACAGAAAU